rfam:Gossypium arboreum cultivar AKA8401 contig_116722_1, whole genome shotgun sequence.
AACCCAUGGUGAGGGUACCUUCUCAAUAGGUCCUUGUAUCUCUCCCAUGCAUCAGAGUGUCCCUAGAUCCUACACAAAAGAAGAGAUAUCGUUCCUCAAUUU